GACGAACGCUGGCGGCGUGCUUAACACAUGCAAGUCGAACGGAAAGGCCCUGCUUUUGUGGGGUGCUCGAGUGGCGAACGGGUGAGUAACCCGUGAGUAACCUGCCCUUGACUUUGGGAUAACUUCAGGAAACUGGGGCUACUACCGGAGAGGAGCGCCUGCUGCAGGGUGGGGGUUGGACAGUUUCGGCGGUGGGGGAUGGACUCGCGGCUUAUCAGCUUGUUGGUGGGGUAGUGGCUUACCAAGGCUUCGACGGGUAGCCGGCCUGAGAGGGUGACCGGCCACAUUGGGACUGAGAUACGGCCCAGACUCCUACGGGAGGCAGCAGUGGGGAAUAUUGCACAAUGGGCGGAAGCCUGAUGCAGCAACGCCGCGUGCGGGAUGACGGCCUUCGGGUUGUAAACCGCUUUAGCCUGUGACGAAGCGGGAGUGACGGUAAUGGGUAAAGAAGCACCGGCUAACUACGUG
rnacentral:rRNA from 1 species